UUUAAGGAUAAUUAACGUGUCCAAUCUGGCUCCGCGCCAGCCAAAGCGCGAAAGCGGAUUUAAAUUCAGCAGUUGAUGACGUGACGCACUGAAAGUUCU